CGCGCUCUAACCGGGACCGGAAGGGCUGGGCAGGGAACCGGGCGGCCAGUUUUUCUCCGGCUAGGCGAGGCUCUGUGACGUGACGUCUUGGUCUUCAGACGGGGUACGCCUUCACCGGAGGCUCCAGACAGUUGCUGAUCUCCUAUAAUACUUGAGUUGUCAAAGUAUGGACUAAAAUAUCUGCCAGGUUCAUCUGGGCUUGUGCCAGAGGAUAAAAAAGAGAGUGCAUAAGGAUUCCAAGAUAAAGAAUAUUUGUAGCCACCUAGAAGACUCCUAUGUGCCUUCAUUCAGUGAACACUCACCCGUCAAUGACAGCCCCUAUUCUAGUGAGUUUGCCUGUUUUUGAACUUCAGAGAGACUCAGAGUGCGAGUCGGGAGGGACAGAGAAAGAGAGGAAGACACAGAAUUUGAAACAGACUCCAGGCAAAGCCCAACGCGGGACUCGAACUCAGGAAUGGCGAGAUCAUGACCUGAGCCGAAGUUGGAAUGUUUAACCGACUGAACCAUCCAGGCAUCCCUAGUAUUCUCUAAUAAUUUCUAACAUUGCUCUCAGCCAUUUGUAUUUAUCAGUAUGAGUUUGGAUCAGGUCAGUUUGUGAGUUAGGUCAGGGCUCAGGUUAUAUCUAAGAUUAGAGCUCAAUCUGCUGCUAAGGUCAUGGCUCAUACUUCGGUUGGGAUCAGGGUUCACCCUGUGAUUACAGCUCCAUCUAUGGUGGGCUAUGAAUAUAAUCUGUGAUUAGGGUAGAGACCUGUCUGUGACUAGUGUUAAGGCUCCAUCUGUGCUGUAAUCAGGUCUCAGCCUGUGGCAGAGAUCAGAUUUGUUCGUGGUGGGCACAAGGAUUCAAUCAGGGGCUGGGCUCAUAGCAGGAUAGGGUUCUAUUCCAGGAAAGAAGGUCAUGAAGUGUUGGUCAGAAGUUCAAAGAGUCCAUUGAGUUGCUGUCAGAUCAGAGGACUGAGCAGAUGGGGGAACCAGAGAACCAAGUUGGGGGGGGGGGUCAAAUAGAGUUGGUGACUGCCAUCACCAUGGCUUACAUUAAAAGGACUAACCAUACCAAGUGUGGGUGAGGAUUUGGAGCACCUGGAGCUUUCUUAUAUUGCUCGUAGGAGUAUACAUUGAAAAACUAUAUUGAACAGCUCUGGCAGUAUAAAUAAAGGUAGGCAUAUAUAUGUAUGCCAUCUUGGUUCAGCAUUUCCACUCCUGGAAUUGACAGACAACUGCUACACACAACAUGGAUAAAUCUCAUGAAAUAGUGUUAAGCAAAAGAAGCCAGACACCAACGAAUAUUUUAUGAUUCCAUUUAUAAGAAGUUCAAAAACAGACAAAAUUAAUCUAUGAUGAUAGGAACUAGAUAAGGGUUACAUUUGGGAGAGAUAUUAACUGGAGGGGGGCACAAAGGAGCCUUCCAAAAGUCUAUGUUUUGAACUGGAUGGUGGUUACACCAUACAUAAAAAUUCACUGAACAUUUAACAUUUGUACCUUUUGCUACAUGUAAGUUCUAUCUCAAUGAGAGAAAAGAGAGUAAGGAAACCGUAUGGAAGUGUGGUUGGCUAGGGACACCUGGCUGGCUCAGUUGGUAGAACAUGUGACUCUUGAUCUCAGGGUGGUGAGUUCCAGCCCCACAAUGGAUGUUGAGAUUACUUAAGAAAAAAAAAAUUUUUUUUAAGUGUGGUUGAGGGGAACCUGGCUGGCUCAGUUGAUUGAGUGUUGGACUCUUGAUUUUGGCUUGGGUCAUGAUCCCAGGGUCAUGGAGUCGAGCCCCGAGUUGGACUCCAUGCUGGGCGUGAAGCCUGUUUGGAUUCUCUCUCUCUCUCUCUCUCUCUCUCUCUCUCUGCCCUUCUCGCAGGUUCACAUGCAUACUCUCUCUCUCUUUAAAAAAAAGAAAAGGUGGUUGAAAAAAAAAUUUAGCUGAAGACUGGUUGGGGAGUUAAUUCCAUAAUGUCUUGUUGAGCCUGGGGAGUGGGCCUGGAGGGUGUCGGGGGUAGAGGGGUGCAGCCUUUGAAGCAAUCACACUGGGAAUAAUAUAGUGUUAGAAAGCCACACACUUGGAGUCAAAAGUCCUCUGAGUUUGGAUCUCAGCACUGUGCUUAGUAUCUAAUCCAGUGGGAAACAUGGUAUGUUGUGAUCUGUCAUGAGGUACCCCACAAAUUAUUCAUUGGUAAUUAUAAGUCACUGAAGCUUUUAAUAUUUUCCUAUUAAUUCCUUUCAAUUCGUGAUACAUGCAUUUGGUUACAAACAAAUUAAGCCUUAUAGAACAGUAUACAGUGAAAAGUCUAUUUUACUCCCAUUUCUGACUCCAAACACCAGUUCCUCAGUCUCCCUCUUGAGAGACAACCACUAUCAUUGGCUUCUUAAAUAUCAUUCCAGAGAGUCUAUGCAUAUUUUUUUAAUGUGUAUUUAUUUUUGAGAGAAAGACAGAGUGAGCAGGGGAGGGGCAGAGAGAGAGGGAGACACAGAAUCCGAAGCAGGCUCCAGGGUCUGCGUCGUCAGCACAGAGCCCAAUGCGGGGCUCGAACUCAUAGACUGUGAGAUCAUGACCUGAGCCGAAGUCAGAUGCUCAACCAACUGUGCCACCCAGGCACCCCAGAGUCUAUGCAUAUUCAUGAAUUAUGUCCUUGCAGAAAAUCACAAGGUACCCCUGUAAUAAUGUUGCUUAUAUAUUGAAUGCUUUAUUUUAUUUUCAAAAUGGAAUUAAGUUUUCAUUAUAAAAAUAACACGUUUAUUUAAAAUUGUAUAAAGUAAAAGUGAAAACUCCCUAACCCACUGUACCACAUCUUACUCCCCAAUUCUAGAGUUAACCACUGUUUCUAGAGUUAACAGUUUCUUAUGCGCAUUCCUGACAACUGUAUGCAUGUGUAAAUAUACAUAGAAUAUUGCUAUAAACAGUAAACUUGCAAUCCGAAUUUUUUCAUCAACAAUAUAUCAGGGACACCUGGGUGACUCACUUGGUUAAGGCUUCGAUUAUUUUUUUAAAGUUUAUUUUAUUUAUUUUGAGAAAGAGAGAGAGAGAGAGGAAGAGAGAAGAGAGAGAAUUCCAAGCCUGCUCUGUGCCAUCAGCACAGAGCCUGACAUGGGACUAAAACCUGUGAACUGUGAGAUCAUGACCUGAACUGAAAUCAAGAGUCAGAUGCUUAACUGACUGAGCCAUCCAGGUGCCCUGCCACGCAAGUAUCCGACUCUUGAUCCCAACUGAGGUCAUGAUCUCAGGGUCCUGAGUUUAAGCCCCACACUGGGUAUGAAGCCUAUUUAAAACAAAACAAAACAAUACAUCUGAGAUAUCUUCCCACAUCAAUUACAUAUAGCUCAAUUUACCCUUCUUCUUUUUUUUAAAGAUGUUUAUUUAUUUAUUUUUGAGAGACAGAGACAGAGAGAGAGGGAGAGAGAAAAUCCCAAGCAGGCUCCAAGCUGUUAGUGCAGAGCCUGACGUGGGGCUUGAACCCACAAACUGUGAGAUCAUGACCUGAGCUGAAAUCAAGAGUUGCACACUUAACCGACUGAGCCACCCAGGUGCCCCUCAACUUACCCUUCUUAACACAGCAUCACAUGUUUUUCCGGAGAGAAAGCGGUAAUGAUGGGGCAGGAAUUACACAUGGGCAUUUGAAAGAAUCAUUUGUCAUAUGUGUUACAGAAGAAAAGCAUAUUGAAAGCAAAUAACCUAAGCCAUCUGGGUCUCAGUUUCUCAUCUGCAAAAUGGAAAUGAUAAUGAAAAAGCCCUGACUGCCUCACCAGAUUGUUGUGAAGAUUACAAGGAGAGGAGAAUGGGUGACAGAGUACUUUGAGAACUGAAAAGUGCUGUGCAAAUGUGAGAGACUGUUAUUUCUGAAGGGGAGAAAUGAAGGGCAGUAGUUCCAGAGUCUAAAGUCUAACAACCAACACUAAUAAUAAUUGCUUUUCCUGCCUUUCUUCACCAAAUGAACUGAUC